CAUGCAAGUCGAACGGACCCUUCGGGGUUAGUGGCGGACGGGUGAGUAACACGUGGGAACGUGCCUUUAGGUUCGGAAUAGCUCCUGGAAACGGGUGGUAAUGCCGAAUGUGCCCUUCGGGGGAAAGAUUUAUCGCCUUUAGAGCGGCCCGCGUCUGAUUAGCUAGUUGGUGAGGUAACGGCUCACCAAGGCGACGAUCAGUAGCUGGUCUGAGAGGAUGACCAGCCACACUGGGACUGAGACACGGCCCAGACUCCUACGGGAGGCAGCAGUGGGGAAUCUUGCGCAAUGGGCGAAAGCCUGACGCAGCCAUGCCGCGUGAAUGAUGAAGGUCUUAGGAUUGUAAAAUUCUUUCACCGGGGACGAUAAUGACGGUACCCGGAAAAGAAGCCCCGGCUAACUUCGUGCCAGCAGCCGCGGUAAUACGAAGGGGGCUAGCGUUGCUCGGAAUUACUGGGCGUAAAGGGCGCGUAGGCGGAUCGUUAAGUCAGAGGUGAAAUCCCAGGGCUCAACCCUGGAACUGCCUUUGAUACUGGCGAUCUUGAGUAUGAGAGAGGUAUGUGGAACUCCAAGUGUAGAGGUGAAAUUCGUAGAUGUUCGGAAGAAGACCAGUGGCGAACGCCACAUAGUGGGUCAUUACUGACGCUGAGGCGCGAGAGCGUGGGGAGCACACAGGAGUAGAUACCCUGGGAUUGCACGCCGUACACGAUGAUCGCUACGUGUCUGGCGACAUGC
rnacentral:rRNA from 1 species